rnacentral:rRNA from 1 species
UACAGAGGGUGCAAGCGUUAAUCGGAAUUACUGGGCGUAAAGCGUGCGUAGACGGUUAUGUAAGUCGGGUGUGAAAGCCCCCGGGCUCAACCUGGGAAUGCCAUUCGAGACUGCAUAGCUAGGGUGCGGAAGAGGGAAGCGGAAUUUCCGGUGUAGCGGUGAAAUGCGUAGAUAUCGGAAGGAACACCAGUGGCGAAAGCGGCUUCCUGGUCCAGCCACCGACGUUCAGGCACGAAAGCGUGGGGAGCAAACAGG